AACGAACGCUGGCGGCGUGGAUAAGACAUGCAAGUCGAACGGGACAGACCGAGUAGCAAUAUUUGGAAUGUUCAGUGGCGAACGGGUGCGUAACACGUGGAUAACAUUCCGGAAAGCGGGGAAUAGCCCAGGGAAACUUGGAUUAAUACCGCAUGUGGCCGCAAGGCUAAAGACGGGGACCGCAAGGCCUGUCACUUUCCGAUUGGUCCGCGGCCUAUCAGCUAGGUGGCGGGGUAAUGGCCCACCAAGGCUACGACGGGUAGCUGGUCUUAGAGGACGACCAGCCACACUGGAACUGAGACACGGUCCAGACACCUACGGGUGGCAGCAGUCGAGAAUCUUUCACAAUGGGGGCAACCCUGAUGGAGCGACGCCGCGUGGAGGAUAAGGUCUUCGGAUUGUAAACUCCUGUCAUGCGAGAACAAGGUACUCAGGCUAAUAACCUGAUUGUUUGAUGGUACCGCAAGGGGAAGAGACGGCUAACUCUGUACCAGCAGCCGCCGUAAGAC
rnacentral:rRNA from 1 species